rnacentral:rRNA from 1 species
UAGGGAAUCUUCCACAAUGGACGCAAGUCUGAUGGAGCAACGCCGCGUGAGUGAAGAAGGUUUUCGGACCGUAAAGCUCUGUUGUUGGUGAAGAAGGAUAGAGGUAGUAACUGGCCUUUAUUUGACGGUAAUCAACCAGAAAGUCACGGCUAACUACGUGCCAGCAGCCGCGGUAAUACGUAGGUGGCAAGCGUUGUCCGGAUUUAUUGGGCGUAAAGCGAGCGCAGGCGGAAGAAUAAGUCUGAUGUGAAAGCCCUCGGCUUAACCGAGGAAUGCAUCGAACGAUGUU